UUCUUUAACCAGUUUUGCCAUGGGCAACAGACUUCUCUGUUGUGUGGUUAUUUUUCUGCUGGAAGUAGAGUCCAUGCAUGCUGAAAUCACUCAGAUCCCAAGACGUUUAAUCAUAGGGAAGGGACAGGCAGUGACAAUUAAAUGUCAGCAAGACACUCAACAGACUCGAAUGUUUUGGUAUCGACAAACCCCAGAGAAGGGGGGUCUAGUGCUUGUCUUUUACUCACUGGGAAAGGAUGAUAAACAGGAUGGGGAUGAUCCUCAAGGAUUUGAAGUCAACAGAACACAUAUCGAGAUUUUUAUUCUCAGUAAAUCAUCUGCACAACCCAAUGACUCUGGGAUGUAUUUCUGCAGUGCCAGCCACAGUGAUCAAAGGACAGAGCAUUUCUAA